rnacentral:rRNA from 1 species
ACUCCCAACCCAAUGUGAACGUUACCAAACUGUUGCCUCGGCGGGAUCUCUGCCCCGGGCGCGUCGCAGCCCCGGACCAAGGCGCCCGCCGGAGGACCAACCAAAACUCUUUUUGUAUACCCCCUCGCGGGUUUUUUUAUAAUCUGAGCCUUCUCGGCGCCUCUCGUAGGCGUUUCGAAAAUGAAUCAAAACUUUCAACAACGGAUCUCUUGGUUCUGGCAUCGAUGAAGAACGCAGCGAAAUGCGAUAAGUAAUGUGAAUUGCAGAAUUCAGUGAAUCAUCGAAUCUUUGAACGCACAUUGCGCCCGCCAGUAUUCUGGCGGGCAUGCCUGUCCGAGCGUCAUUUCAACCCUCGAACCCCUCCGGGGGGUCGGCGUUGGGGAUCGGCCCUCCCUUAGCGGGUGGCCGUCUCCGAAAUACAGUGGCGGUCUCGCCGCAGCCUCUCCUGCGCAGUAGUUUGCACACUCGCAUCGGGAGCGCGGCGCGUCCACAGCCGUUAAACACCCAACUUCUGAAAUGUUGACCUCGGAUCAGGUAGGAAUACCCGCUGAACUUA